rnacentral:rRNA from 1 species
UACAGAGGGUGCGAGCGUUAAUCGGAAUUACUGGGCGUAAAGCGCACGUAGGUGGCGACGUAAGUCGGGUGUGAAAGCCCCGGGCUCAACCUGGGAAUUGCAUUCGAGACUGCAUUGCUGGAGUACGGAAGAGGAAGGCGGAAUUCCCGGUGUAGCGGUGAAAUGCGUAGAUAUCGGGAAGAACACCCGUGGCGAAGGCGGCUCUCUGGGACGGUACUGACGCUGAGACGCGAAAGCGUGGGGAGCGAACAGG